AUCCAGCUGACGAGUCCAAAACAAGACGAAACGCGACUCCUCCAU
rnacentral:hammerhead_ribozyme from 1 species